rnacentral:lncRNA from 1 species
UACCUAGCGGCCUUGUCGUGCUUGAUUUUGGUGGCCAUUUCCUUCCUCCGGCCGCCUUUCUUUGGUGGGGAGACACUCUGCUGAGCACUGACCGGUUCCUCCUCGGGCGGGCUCUCCUCCAAGUUGAUUCCUCCCAUAUCAGGAUGAUAAUCGGAGGAGAGAUCGGGGCACCAAUUUGGAUCGUAGAAAGGGUUGUGUGGAUCCAUGACGGAGAAAAUUGUAGGAGAAGAAGAGGUGUGAAGAGAAGAAAAUUGGAGAAGAAGAGGUGUGAAGAGAAGAAGGAAGAAGGUGGGGUGUUUUAAAGAAGAGAAGA